CACCGGCGGCUCGAGUGGUGGCCACUUUUAUUGGGUCUAAAGCGUCCGUAGCCGGCUUGGCAAGUCCCCUGGGAAAUCUGGCGGCUUAACCGUCAGGCGUCCAGAGGAUACUGCCAGGCUUGGGACCGGGAGAGGUGAGAGGUACCUCAGGGGUAGGGGUGAAAUCUUGUGAUCCCUGAGGGACCACCAGUGGCGAAGGCGUCUCACUAGAACAGGUCCGACGGUCAGGGACGAAAGCUGGGGGCACGAACCGG
rnacentral:rRNA from 1 species